CUCAGAAGGUUCCCAGCCCCUACAAAUCCAAUGUCCCUGUGAUCCCCUUGGCUGCUCAAUUUCUUCUCAGCUACGGUUCUCGCCCAGGAAAAGUUUCUUCUUAGCUCCUGUCCUUAGGUGUUGCUCCAUGUGCUGAAGUAAUUCAAGUCCAUGAUCCUUAAUUGGCAUGACAGGCUCUGCAGUGGUGCCAAGGUAGAAGCAGGAGGGUUUAGAUCCUUCCCAGACAGUUACUGCUCUUUUAAUUCCACUGCUGGAGACCUUCUGACCCACAGCCGCUUCAUGCAGAAAAUUCUCCCCUGGGGACACUGGGCAGAGGUUUGUUAAGGAACAGAGACAGAUGUUUGGGGUGAAAUGUCUCAUUACACUUGUGGGAUUGCUGAUGUCAUUUUUGCAAAGGCUUAAUUCAGAAGACACUGAAAUGAAGGAGACAGGUCGGAGCCAGUCCCCUGGGUAAUUCUGGCCGCUAGCAGGAGUGUUGUGGGCAAGACACUUCCUCCCAGGACUUCCUGGGCCAGUUAGGGAGCUGCAUGCCGUGUCCUACACAGGGGUGAACGCUUUUCACUGACUUUCCCGCCAACGUUCCCUUCACUGAUUCCGGUCUGUCUGGGUUUUGUUCCAGAUGCUGAUGGCCACCAUCAUUUGGGUUUCUGCACGGAGUACAGCACACGACCAAUAGUGUGCAGCGAUCACUUCAAUCCCAUCUGUGGCAGUGAUGACAAAACAUACCUCAACAAAUGCACCUUUUGCCUUGCAGCCUAUGAACAGCGUGGGAGUCUUUGCUUUCAGCACUACGGAAAAUGCAAGCGGACUCCCAGAACUGGGCACAAAGUUGAAGAACUGUAGCUGCCAGUUCCCACUAGCAGAACUGAGCACGGAGCCACAUUUGUGUGUCAGCCUCCAUUCCCAGGGCUCCUGACAGCAUCGCUGACUCCCCACCUGUCUCUGCAAUAAAGGAAACUCAGAGCCA